UACGUAGGGUCCGAGCGUUGUCCGGAAUUAUUGGGCGUAAAGAGCUCGUAGGCGGUUUGUCGCGUCUGCUGUGAAAUCCCGAGGCUCAACCUCGGGUCUGCAGUGGGUACGGGCAGACUGGAGUGCGGUAGGGGAGAAUGGAAUUCCUGGUGUAGCGGUGGAAUGCGCAGAUAUCAGGAGGAACACCGAUGGCGAAGGCAGUUCUCUGGGCCGUAACCGACGCUGAGGAGCGAAAGCGUGGGGAGCGAACAGG
rnacentral:rRNA from 1 species